GCGAGAUUAGUUUAACGGCUAGAACAUUGUCUUUACACGACAAGGGCGUUGGUUCGACUCCAGCAUCUUGUA
rnacentral:tRNA from 4 species